UUUCUAGAGAUUCUAGAGAAAGCGAGACAAAGUGAAACGACAAAGUACACCCCUUCUUCUUGCGCAAAAGAUCUUACCAUUUCCGAAGGAACUGGGGCUACAUUUCUUUUCAAUUUCCAUUCAAGAUUUUCUAUAUGUUUCCACGCCCUUUUCUUGAGACCUCGAAACAUGAGGACAAAUUACUUCUCUUAG
rnacentral:rRNA from 1 species